rnacentral:tRNA from 1 species
GGGGGUAUAGGGUAACACGGCAUCCUACCGGGCUCCAGACCCGCUGAUCGGGGUUCAAAUCCCCGUGCCCCCA